ACUCUAGUAUUGACCCCAAUCCACUUGUAUUGAGUUGUAUUGAGGUGGAUUGGAGUGUAACUUAAACUAAUUUACACCCCAAUCCACCUCAACACAUGUGGAUUGGGGUCAAUACUAGA
rfam:Zea mays cultivar B73 chromosome 8, whole genome shotgun sequence.